GCGGUGACAGAUUUUGUCAUUUACGAAAAAAUGUGUGGCGUGGCGAGUGUUUCUUAAAAUUUAAAUUUACUCCCACGCUGACACCAUCUGUUUGUUUGUACGGGGAAUGAUUAAUUUGAAUUUGGUGGGCAAUAUUGGUAGGAAAAAUCGUUACAGACAGUUGUGUUAGCGGCAUGUUUUUUUGUGAAAUUAGUCUUAAAAAUCGUUACCGACAGUUUCGUUGACAUCUAAUUGUUUGCGGAAUUAUUCUUAAAAAUCGCGUUAUGGACUCGGUACAUAAGUUAUGUUACCAAUUUUGUUACCAAAAAGAGAGCAGAUUCACGCAGGUCUUGGUAACAUCGAAAGUAAAAUCCGGUAAAUUCCGUAAACAUUUGCAAAAUUUUGCAAAUAUUUCUGAGCAAAAUUAGCUCCCAAAUUUUUGCAAACUUACUCAAAUCAAGGGAGUUUCUUUAUUUGGUAAAAUUAUUUUACCAAAUUUACCAUUUUUUUUACCAAGUUACCAAUUCCUGCCUGAAUUGCCUCUCAGUCUUUUUUAGAGUGUCUGUAAAAUUCCCUAUUGUCAAUUUGAGAAUAAGUGAGCUAAUCAAAUCCUAACGCAAAUAUCAGCCGUCCGCCGUGCACUAAAGAGGUGAAUGAAUAGUUGAUUAAGAACUUAUGGAGUAGAUUUCGAUACGGGACGGGACGCGUUUGGCCAUAAAUAAUCCACGUAAUGGACACGGGGACGUUAAUAUCUUGGAUAAACAAAGACCACGACUCUUCUUCGCUUGACCAUCACAUGUACAAAGCAAGGCAAGGGAACGGACCACCUCAAAAAAACUGGGCAGGCCGACGGACGAACGAGCUAUCAUAUUUAAUAUGAAACACGAUCCCGACUCGUUAUGCCACGAUUUUUGGGAGUUUCAUAAUGCGAAGAAAAGUGCUUUUCGUGCGGGAUGAAGUGCAUGAAAUGGGGACAUUUAAAGGGAGGGUUUAUGUAAGAAAAAAAUGCAGAUUUUGUGAAUUCACCGCUAAAAAUAUGGGUCAUAAGUAAACAAGCAAUUCACGCAGUCAUUAGGUCCUCUCAAAGCUCUAAAAAAGAUCUGAUUUUUCUGCUCAUCGCUCAUUCUGAUCAUUUCUGCUCGGCUGUGCGCAUGCGAUUUCGCUCAAAAUCAGAUUUUCUUGCUCAACAAAAAAAUCGAGUUUUGGGUUGAUUUUUUCUCUCAUAAUCCUGCUCAUUCUGCUCCACAUCAGCACAUCAGUUGUUUGUUUACUUCAAUUUUUCGUUUAAAAAUUAAGUAAAGUUCUCUAAAACAUAUUCUUUAUCAUUAUGGGUCCCAAGACCCAGGUUAAGCGUACCAGUGUCGAAAAAGUUGCAAAUCCCGUAAUUUGUUGUAACAAAAGUAGCGUCGUGGAGGUAGGCGGCCGAAAAAUAUUUCGCUGGACAGCACAAGUAAAAAUUGACAUGGCAUAUUAUGUCGUCAACAAUAACACCUCAUUUAAGCAGGUGACCAACCGCACUGAAUUCCUUCGUCGCCUCCAAGAUGCUUUGCCCUUAAUUGCGAAGAAAGUCAAAUAAAAAAUGGAUUUGACAGAUUUCUUAAAACGUACACAGAGACUAAAGAGAAGUUAAACCAGUCGGGUUUUGGGAUUGACCCUGAGAAAGACGAAACUCUGGACAAAAGUGCGGUCAUUUCUUUCAAUUACAUCAAAUCUAAUGAUUUUCAAUGCGAUAAAAUUACGAUUCAGCGAAGCCGAAAUAAAAAUACUGGAACUCAAAAUUAAAUUGGAAACUAUUA